rnacentral:rRNA from 1 species
GAUGAACGCUGGCGGCGUGCCUAAUACAUGCAAGUCGAGCGAAUGGAUUAAGAGCUUGCCCUUAUGAAGUUAGCGGCGGACGGGUGAGUAACACGUGGGUAACCUGCCCAUAAGACUGGGAUAACUCCGGGAAACCGGGGCUAAUACCGGAUAACAUUUUGAACCGCAUGGUUCGAAAUUGAAAGGCGGCCUCGGCUGGCACUUAUGGAUGGACCCGGGUCGCAUUAGCUAGUUGGUGAGGUAACGGCUCACCAAGGCAACGAUGCGUAGCCGACCUGAGAGGGUGAUCGGCCACACUGGGACUGAGACACGGCCCAGACUCCUACGGGAGGCAGCAGUAGGGAAUCUUCCGCAAUGGACGAAAGUCUGACGGAGCAACGCCGCGUGAGUGAUGAAGGCUUUCGGGUCGUAAAACUCUGUUGUUAGGGAAGAACAAGUGCUAGUUGAAUAAGCUGGCACCUUGACGGUACCUAACCAGAAAGCCAUGGCUAACUACGUGCCAGCAGCCGCCGUAA